rnacentral:rRNA from 1 species
GCGUGUAGGCUGGUUUUCCAGGCAAAUCCGGAAAAUCAAGGCUGAGGCGUGAUGACGAGGCACUACGGUGCUGAAGCAACAAAUGCCCUGCUUCCAGGAAAAGCCUCUAAGCAUCAGGUAACAUCAAAUCGUACCCCAAACCGACACAGGUGGUCAGGUAGAGAAUACCAAGGCGCUUGAGAGAACUCGGGUGAAGGAACUAGGCAAAAUGGUGCCGUAACUUCGGGAGAAGGCACGCUGAUAUGUAGGUGAAGUCCCUCGCGGAUGGAGCUGAAAUCAGUCGAAGAUACCAGCUGGCUGCAACUGUUUAUUAAAAACACAGCACUGUGCAAACACGAAAGUGGACGUAUACGGUGUGACGCCUGCCCGGUGC